rnacentral:lncRNA from 1 species
CUGAAGAUCUUAUUUCAGCCAGGCACCAAUGUAUUGCCUGAGUUUGUACCCAACAACAACAACACCAACCCCAAUAACCAAGAAGAAGACUGUUUAACCUAGUUAGUAGCCAUCCUGAUAAAUGACCCAAGUUGUCCCUCUUCCUGCUUUACCUCCACCUACUAGACACCCUACCCGACCUAGCCAACCAUGUCAAUAUUGUCGAUGCUUACAUAGUGAUCAGCCCUGUUGGCAUUUGAACAAUGCUUCCUAUAAGUUCAGAAG